UGAUCACAAGGGAUUGGGAUUGACACAGAGCUCGUCUGCUCCAGAAGAAGGUGUACCCGUGCCGAGGCUCCUCGAUCUGCCCGGCACCAGGGAGACGGGUCUCGGAGAGGGCCACAAUGUCCAGGCCGAGCUUCUGAAUCUCAAGGGCGAUGAGGGCAGUCCUGCGCUCCGGUCUAUUUACUCUUGCAUUGUCCAUCAGGGAUGAAUCUGCUGGAGGCGGGUCUCCAGCCGAUCGGUGGCGGUGAUGGGCGUGUUUAGGCAGCCUUUUAUUGGCCCUUCCUCGGAUUGAGGGGAGCAGCGCUACGACUAAAGAGUCCUGCUCCGCCACCGUGGUCGCUGCCUCUCCCCUGCACCAUCACCAGUUCGCAAGGGGAGCGACCAUCGUGCCACGGCCACCGACGUGUGGUUGUGGAACUAGGGACGUGGGCCCUCAACUGAGCCUGUCCCCGACGCCCCGCGCCAUCGCCGCCGGACUUCUUGAGGUUAAGGGGAUCGGGAGAAGGGGGAAACAGGUUGAGGAGGCAGGAGGGGGAGGGGUGCCCCUGCACUUCGACCCCGUGGCCAGGGUCCACGGCAGCGCGGUGGCCGACGGUGGUGGUCCAGGGGGUCUGCAGCACUCGAGGUUGGACCGUGGGUACCCGGUGUUUUAUUUUGAAGGGUGGACAUUCCUUCAUAACCCAUGGGGAUGGUCGGCUUGGCGAUCCGGUCCGCCGCCUUGCUAGGCGCUUAACGCCAGGACUGCGGUGGAUUUGUAUACCGCCGGACGCGGUGCCGCGGGAUUUUGCUGACCCGAAGGUCAUUACCACUUCGCACCAACUCUCCAGUAAUGGAAAGUCCCGUCAUUUCGGCGUGGAGGCUCCCUUACGGACUUCACUGCGAUCCACUAGGAAUUGGCGACGGUUUUAUCCGCACCUUUGAGUCUAGGGAUCGCAGAUCUUUUGCGAGUUGUCAGAAAAUAGGCAAACACUUACAAGACCAAACCCAUGACUAACAGUAACAAGAAAAAAACUAAACAAAAAAAACUUACAAAAGGUAAGCGAAGACGACUAAGCGGAAUCAGAAAACGAAGAACAUGAGCGCUUGUGACGUCUU